rnacentral:ncRNA from 1 species
GGGGCUGGUCGAAAGACCCGGGUCCAUCUGCUGGCGGGUAAGACACCC